CCUACGGGUGGCAGCAGUGAGGAAUAUUGGUCAAUGGACGAGAGUCUGAACCAGCCAAGUAGCGUGAAGGAUGACUGCCCUAUGGGUUGUAAACUUCUUUUAUAUGGGAAUAAAACGUUCCACGUGUGGGAUUUUGUAUGUACCAUCUGAAUAAGGAUCGGCUAACUCCGUGCCAGCAGCCGCGGUAAUACGGAGGAUCCGAGCGUUAUCCGGAUUUAUUGGGUUUAAAGGGAGCGUAGGUGGAUUGUUAAGUCAGUUGUGAAAGUUUGCGGCUCAACCGUAAAAUUGCAGUUGAAACUGGCAGUCUUGAGUACAGUAGAGGUGGGCGGAAUUCGUGGUGUAGCGGUGAAAUGCUUAGAUAUCACGAAGAACUCCGAUUGCGAAGGCAGUUCACUGGACUGCAACUGACACUGAGGCUCGAAAGUGUGGGUAUCAAACAGGAUUAGAUACCCUAGUAGUC
rnacentral:rRNA from 1 species